AAGUCGUAACAAGGUAUCUGUAGGUGAACCUGCAGAUGGAUCAUUUGAAAAAUAAAAUAAUUUGGCUUUCUUUGGCUUUGAGGUGUGGCUUCGCACCUGACUAACUAAAAUUGAGCUACCCAUUUUUACACGGUUGCAUUGGUCAGGCUGUCAAACAGCGCCGCGGUCAAACGCGGUUAGCUGGGUGAACGCCUGUCAAACCAAUUUUGAAUUCACACUUUGGAAUGAUAGGAUUUUGGGAUGUCAUUUGGGAUGAAAGCGACUGGUAAUGCGGUCGUUGAAAUUGAAAAAACAACUUUUGGCAACGGAUCUCUUGGUUCUCC
rnacentral:misc_RNA from 1 species